UACGGGGGGGGCAAGCGUUGUUCGGAAUUACUGGGCGUAAAGGGCUCGUAGGUGGCCAACUAAGUCGGACGUGAAAUCCCUCAGCUUAACUGGGGAACUGCGUCCGAUACUGGAUGGCUCGAGUUUGGGAGAGGGAUGCGGAAUUCCAGGUGUAGCGGUGAAAUGCGUAGAUAUCUGGAGGAACACCGGUGGCGAAGGCGGCAUCCUGGACCAACACUGACACUGAGGCGCGAAAGCUAGGGGAGCGAACGGG
rnacentral:rRNA from 1 species